rnacentral:lncRNA from 1 species
CUUAACCCUAAGCUACCUGCUGCCUUGAAUCUGAACCAGGCUCCUUGUUAACUAUGUUGUAAGGCUUUCUAGCGACUUAGGUCAGUGUUUCCCAAAUCCGGUGCUCCAGUACCCCCAGCAGCCCAACUCCAGUCUUCCAGUACCCCCAGCAGCCCAACUCCAGUCUUCCAGUACCCCCAGCAGCCCAACUCCAGUCUUCCAGUACCCCCAGCAGCCCAACUCCAGUCUUCCAAUAUCCCCAGCAGCCCAACUCCAGUCUUCCUGUACCCCCAGCAGCCCAACUCCAGUCUUCCAGUCCCAGCAGCCCAACUCCAGUCUUCCAGUAUCCCCAGCAGCCCAACUCCAGUCUUCCAGUACUCCCAGCAGCCCAACUCCAGUCUUCCAGUACCCCAACAGCCCAACUCCAGUCUUCCAGUACCCCCAGCAGCCCAACUCCAGUCUUCCAGUAACCCCAACUCCAGUCUUCCAGUAACCCCAACUCCAGUCUUCCAGUACCCCCACGCAGCCCCAACUCCAGUCUUCCAGCAGCCCAACUCCAGUCUUCCAGUAACCCCAACUCCAGUCUUCCAGCAGCCCAACUCUGGUCCUCCAGUAACCCCAGCCCCAACUCUGGUCCUCCAGUACCCCCAGC